rnacentral:rRNA from 1 species
UACAGAGGGGGCAAGCGUUGUUCGGAAUUACUGGGCGUAAAGGGCGCGUAGGCGGCCUGUUAAGUCGAACGUGAAAUCCCCGGGCUCAACCCGGGAACUGCGUCCGAUACUGGCAGGCUUGAAUCCGGGAGAGGGAUGCGGAAUUCCAGGUGUAGCGGUUGAAAUGCGUAGAUAUCUGGAGGAACACCGGUGGCGAAGGCGG